GUCCUCGUAGCUCAAUUGGAUAGAGCGCUUGGCUUCGAACCAAGAGGUUCCGGGUUCAAUUCCUGGCGAGGACACAA
rnacentral:tRNA from 1 species